UACCAGCUCUCCGAGUGGUAGGGAUGAUUAUUGGGCUUAAAGCGUCCGUAGCCGGCUUGGCAAGUUUCCUGUUAAACUCUGCGACUUAAUCGUUGAAUCGCGGGAAAUACUACUAGGCUAGGAGGCGGGAGAGGUCAACGGUACUUCUGGGGUAGGGGUGAAAUCCCAUAAUCCCGGGAGGACCACCAGUGGCGAAGGCUGUUGACUAGAACGCGCUCGACGGUGAGGGACGAAAGCUGGGGGAGCGAACCGGAUUAGAUACCCGGGUAGUCCCAGCUGUAAACGAUGCGGGCUAGGUGUUGGGAUGGCUACGUGCCAUUUCUGUGCCGCAGGGAAGCCAUUAAGCCCGCCGCCUGGGGAGUACGGCCGCAAGGCUGAAACUUAAAGGAAUUGGCGGGGGAGCACCACAAGGCGUGAAGCUUGCGGUUC
rnacentral:rRNA from 1 species